rnacentral:rRNA from 1 species
UGGGGAAUAUUGCACAAUGGGCGAAAGCCUGAUGCAGCGACGCCGCGUGAGGGAUGACGGCCUUCGGGUUGUAAACCUCUUUCAGCAGGGACGAAGCGCAAGUGACGGUACCUGCAGAAGAAGCACCGGCUAACUACGUGCCAGCAGCCGCGGUAAUACGUAGGGUGCAAGCGUUGUCCGGAAUUACUGGGCGUAAAGGGCUUGUAGGCGGCUUGUUGCGCCUGCUGUGAAAACGCGGGGCUUAACUUCGCGCGUGCAGUGGGUACGGGCAGGCUUGAGUGUGGUAGGGGUGACUGGAAUUCCAGGUGUAGCGGUGGAAUGCGCAGAUAUCUGGAGGAACACCGAUGGCGAAGGCAGGUCACUGGGCCAUUACUGACGCUGAGGAGCGAAAGCAUGGGUAGCGAACAGG